GGAGGAAUAUUGGUCAAUGGGCGAGAGCCUGAACCAGCCAAGUAGCGUGCAGGAUGACGGCCCUAUGGGUUGUAAACUGCUUUUAUAAGGGAAUAAAGUGAGAGUCGUGACUCUUUUUGCAUGUACCUUAUGAAUAAGGACCGGCUAAUUCCGUGCCAGCAGCCGCGGUAAUACGGAAGGUCCGGGCGUUAUCCGGAUUUAUUGGGUUUAAAGGGAGCGUAGGCCGGAGAUUAAGCGUGUUGUGAAAUGUAGACGCUCAACGUCUGCACUGCAGCGCGAACUGGUUUCCUUGAGUACGCACAAAGUGGGCGGAAUUCGUGGUGUAGCGGUGAAAUGCUUAGAUAUCACGAAGAACUCCGAUUGCGAAGGCAGCUCACUGGAGCGCAACUGACGCUGAAGCUCGAAAGUGCGGGUAUCGAACAGGAUUAGAUACCCUGGUAGU
rnacentral:rRNA from 1 species